rnacentral:lncRNA from 10 species
GCGCCUGCUGGGCUCUGUGCGCCCGGGAAGGUGCGGCCACCCUCACGCGGAAGGCGGCCAGCGGAUCCCGGUGCGCGCAGCUCCCAGCGCUGGGGUUCCAGCGCCCCGCCUCUUCCUAUAGCAACCAGCGGGACCUGCCGUCCCCCGGGCCGGGUGUCUGCCUCUCACUUAGGUAUUAGGAACCGUGGCACAAAUCUGUAGGUUUUCCUCUGGGGGUGGGCGGAGGCUCCAAACCGGACGGUUUUCUCCUGGAGGACUGUGUUCAGACAGAUACUGGUUUCCUUAUCCGCAGGUGUGCGCGGCGCUCGCAAGUGGUCAGCAUAACGCCGGGCGAAUUCGGAAAGCCCGUGCGUCCGUGGACGACCCACUUGGAAGGAGUUGGGAGAAGUCCUUGUUCCCACGCGCGGACGCUUCCCUCCGUGUGUCCUUCGAGCCACAAAAAGCCCAGACCCUAACCCGCUCCUUUCUCCCGCCGCGUCCAUGCAGAACUCCGCCGUUCCUGGGAGGGGAAGCCCGCGAGGCGUCGGGAGAGGCACGUCCUCCGUGAGCAAAGAGCUCCUCCGAGCGCGCGGCGGGGACGCUGGGCCGACAGGGGACCGCGGGGGCAGGGCGGAGAGGACCCGCCCUCGAGUCGGCCCAGCCCUAACACUCAGGACCGCCUCCAGCCGGAGGUCUGCGCCCUUCUGAGGACCCUGCCUGGGGGAGCUUAUUGCGGUUCUUUUGCAAAUACCCGCUGCGCUUGGACGGAGGAAGCGCCCACGCGUCGACCCCGGAAACGAAGGCCUCCCUGAUGGGAACGCAUGCGUCCAGGAGCCUUUAUUUACUCUUAAUUCUGCCCGAUGCUUGUACGUGUGUGAAAUGCUUCAGAUGCUUUUGGGAGCGAGGUGUUACAUAAAUCAUGGAAAUGCCUCCUGGUCUCACCACACCCAGGGUGACAGCUGAGAUGCGGCUUCUCCAGGGUGGAGCCUCCUCGUUUUCCAGAGCUGCUUGUUGAAGUCUUCCCAGGGCCCCUGACUUGCACUGGAAACUGCUCACCUUGGCAUCGGGAUGUGGAGCAAGAAAUGCUUUUGUUUUCAUUCAUCCUAGUGUUCAUAAAAUGGAAAACAAAUAAGGACAUACAAAAACAUUAAUAAAAUAAAUUAAUGGAACUAGAUUUUUCAGAAAGCACAACAAACACAAAAUCCAAGUAUUGCCAUGUCAGCAACACAUUCCUACUUUAAGUUUUAUGAAGUUAAUUGGAGUAGUGGAGAACAAAAGUGGAUGUGGGGCAGAUCUGCGUCCUGCAUGUGUCUUGCAGCCAGACUGUUCCAGCUGUUGCAGACCUCAAAAUAGAGAGGACCCAGGUUUUCUGAUUUUGCCUUCUUUUUUUUUUUUUUAAAUUUAUUAUUGUUAUACUUUAAGUUUUAGGGUACAUGUGCAUGAUGUGCAGGUUAGUUUCAUAUGUAUACAUGUGCCAUGCUGGUGUGCUGCACCCACUAACUCGUCAUCUAGCAUUAGGUAUAUCUCCCAGUGCUAUCCCUCCCCCCUCCCCCCACCCCACAACAGUCCCCAGAGUGUGAUGUUCCCCUUCCUGUGCCCAUGUGUUCUCAUCGUUCAAUUCCCACCUAUGAGUGAGAAUAUGCGGUGUUUGGUUUUUUGUUCUUGCGAUAGUUUACUGAGAAUGAUGAUUUCCAAUUUCAUCCAUGUCCCUACAAAGGACAUG